rnacentral:rRNA from 1 species
AUUGAACGCUGGCGGCAGGCCUAACACAUGCAAGUCGAACGAGUGGCGGACGGGUGAGUAAUGUCUGGGAAACUGCCCGAUGGAGGGGGAUAACUACUGGAAACGGUAGCUAAUACCGCAUACCAUCGGAUGUGCCCAGAUGGGAUUAGCUAGUAGGUGGGGGAAUGGCUCACCUAGGCGACGAUCCCUGUCUGGUCUGAGAGGAUGACCAGCCACACUGGAACUGGGACAGGGUCCAGAGCCCGACGGGAGGCAGCGUUGGGGAAUAUUGCCAAAUGGGCGCAAGCCUGAUGCAGCCAGGCCGCGGGUAUGAAGAAGGCCUUCGGGGUGUAAAGUACUUUCAGCGAGGAGGCGGUACUCGCAGAAGAAGCACCGGCUAACUCCGUGCCAGCAGCCGCGGUAAUAC